UCCGAUAGGAAAAUGCUUUUU
rnacentral:piRNA from 1 species